AGCUACCCUGCCACAGGUCCCCACUAUAUCACAACCCGGCCAAAGAGAGCCCCACUCUGGCUGCAAGUUCUCAGCUCUGAUGGACACCUCUAGGCGUGUUAUCUGAACUCUCUGAGGUCGAGUUUCCUUAUCUGUAAAGAGUACAUGGCGAGAGGGCCGGUCGCAGAGGGCCAUGGAAAUGGGAGACGGCGAGUGCAGAGACCUGAGCAAAGUUUGUGGAAAGUGACAGCGGCGGCCAUCACUGUCAUGAGCACCUCGACCUCUUCCUGACUGAAACCUUUCCAUCGGGGUAGAGGAGCAGAAGGACGGUUGGCGAAGAAUGUGAAAGACACAGGGAGUAGAAAGUCACAGCAUGUGGAGAGAGGUCAUCAUAGAACCUACUGAGUUGCACCACCCAGGGAAACCGAGGCACGGCAUCCCCUCCUUCAGAAGACACAGAGGCUCUGUGGAAUCUCAAGACUUGUAAAUACCCACUGAAGCUGCGCAGGCAUCUAUGCCCUGGGCCUACCCCCAUGUGGUCAACAAACUGGUCCGGCCAACAGCUUCCUAGAGUAGCUUCCAUGACACCGUUUUCCAAAGGACCUAGGGUUUCUGACUCCUCCUGUGGGCUAGGGACAUCGGGGAAGGGAAGGAGGGCAGAAGAGACUCCUGUUCCCAAAGGCCAAGGGGAAGUCAGAAGGAAAAGGCAUACCUUGCUCAAGUGACCUAGUUAGGGCAAAGAGCUUUCUGGGUGCCACACGGUUCCAAGCAAGGCUAAGAGCCAGUGUCAGAUCCUCUAGAGUAGCCUUCUCCUCACACCGGCGCCAGGACUGAGAGAGACAAGAGGAUACCAAACGUGGGGCCUAGUAUGUUGGGGAACUGGUCUCUGCCUGGAGUUUGGACAACUUGGGAGCAAAGGUCUCUUCUGGGCAUAGUAGUAUGUACCCAUACCCAAGCACUUGGGAGGCUGUGACAAGACAAUCAUUGGCUCAAAGCCAGCCUGGGCUAAAAACAAGUUCAAGGUUCGUUUGGACUACAUGUAAAACCAUACCCUGUCUCAGAAAACCAAAGAGAAGGCCUCUUCCCCCGUCCUGCACCCUCCACGGAACUCUUCCAACUUUCCAGAUAUGUUGAAAACUUGACACUGGACAACCAAAGCACAAGGCUGAGCUGUCAUGGAGGUCCUUGAGACUUGCCCUGAGUGUUGGGCUCUAAGUCUUGCUGGAAGUUACAAAAAAUAACCCCAACACCUUGAGAAGCCACCAAGCAGGAAGCAUGCAGUGAACACCACCAUAGGUUGGUCCAAGGCUGUGUGUCUGCCACUACAAAAGAAUGAGUGCUGGAGGAAGAUGGUGUCUUCCCUCUUGAUUCCCAUCCCAGAAGUACCUCAGCCCCUGCUCCAGCCCAGCUGCUUCCCUCAGGCGAUUCCACCAGGGCCUUGAGGAAGAGCUGGCGCCAGGGCAGCAUGGGGCAGACAUUCUCCCCCCAAAAAGACCUGCCCCCGCACCCUGAGAACAGGCUGAGCAGGAUGCCGAGCGGGGGUGCUUGGAAGCCUUCCGGGAAGAGCACAACCCUGGCACCAGUCCCGCCGGGAAGGAGGGUUCAUCCCAAGAAAAAUCAACUGGAGGAUCCUCCCGGACAGACCACCAGCAGGACAUCCACACCGUGUGCGCAGCCAAACUCUGACAUCAGUCAUGUCUUUCAGAUCCCUUUGGGUCAUGGACUAAGUCUACUUUCCCAAACUGCCGGCCCCAGAGCUCUCUUGCCAUGGUACUUCUAGAGCAAGCACCCUUGCUGAAAGGGUGUAAGGCAAGUGUCCCCCAACCCCCGUCCCCCGAGCUUUAAAAAUACCCCGGCGUGUGGUUCACGGGACAGAGCGAAGUUCACGUGGUCAGAGUCGAGUAUAAAUAACCGGCAAAUCGGUUCCCAGAGCCCGGGCCCUUCCCCAUCACCAGGAACCUUUCCGAAGAGAAUCAAAGUGAGCACAACUGUUACCAAGUCACUACUGAAAUAUUUACCAGCCUGGCGAAGUGCCUAAGGUGCUUGGCACCCAGUGCUUGCUUAUUUACAAGGCUCUUUUAAAGGGUAGAGAGACAAAACAGAGUAACCUGAGCUACUAAAUGGAGGGGCCAGGUGGUGCCCACCAGCUGCCAGCUGCCCCAGGCACUGAGGGAGCUAGAACACAAGGAUGGAGAUCAGCCCCCCAAAACGGGUCAAGAUCAGCUUGGUGGCCAGGAAGGACCUACCAGUAGCAGAGAGGGCCCCUGGGAGGCAAAGUGGCUACCAGCUGCAACCAGCGGCAACCCUCCCACCCCAGCAUGAGUUCCAGAGCUGUCCCCUGGACUUCUGCAUAUUUACCUGAAAAGUCACCUGGACACUGCCUACCACAGGCUGUGGGGAAGGGCCCCUAGGCAACAGACAGGCAGGGGAAAGGGGAGGUCUAGAGGA